rnacentral:misc_RNA from 1 species
GGUUCAGGCAUUUGUGGGAUAACAGAACUUAAAAGACACAGCGGAGAGGGAUGAGGCCAAAUUGGGAGUUGAAGAAUUGCUGCAACCAUGAGCAAGUAGUGUUUCUUGUUACUGUCUCUGUCUGUACUGUUGUCAUUUUUGCGUUAUGGAGAACAGUACUGCUGAGACCAUUCAAGCUUGUGACAGUAUUCCUUCACGAGGCAAGCCAUGCUAUUGCUUGUAAAUUAACAUGUGGCCAUGUGGAAGGGAUUCAGGUUCAUGCAGAUGAAGGUGGAACCACUCAAACGCGUGGUGGUGUGUACUGGUUGAUCUUGCCAGCUGGAUAUCUCGGUUCCUCCUUUUGGGGAAUGGUUUUAAUACUUGCAUCCACAAAUCUUCUUACAGCAAGAAUUGCAGCAGGAUGUUUUGUUGUUGCUCUACUUGUAGUACUGUUGGUGGCUAAAAAUUGGACUCUUCAGGGACUUUGUAUUGGGUUUGUUGUUUUCCUUGGAGUGAUUUGGGUCCUGCAAGAAACAACAAAAGUUCGUAUUCUUCGGUAUACUAUUCUAUUCAUUGGUGUAAUGAACAGCUUGUUUUCAGUUUACGAUAUCUAUGAUGAUCUGAUAUCCCGUAGAGUUAAUUCUAGUGAUGCUGAAAAAUUUGCAGAAGUUUGCCCUUGCCCAUGCAAUGGCAUGGGCUGGGGCAUCAUUUGGGGUUUAAUAUCAUUCUUGUUUCUUUGUGGGGCCGUGUACCUCGGUAUCGUGAUAUUGUCUUGAGGAUUAGGAAUUCUGCUUCAAGUUGUAUGAUCACUUAGAGCCUAGACAAGGCAUCAACUUAAUUGCAACUUCCAGCUCUUAUCAAAUGGCAUCUCAUUUUAUAGAGAUGCUUUGACAAUGGCUUCAGCUGAAGGCAAAUGGAAUUGGUUAGUACCUGUAAUCCUUGUCUACUUCAUUGCAUUUACAUCAAACAAGUUAUUUUUGAUUUGUAUUUUGUUGUGGUGGCUGAGCAAAAAUUUGUUGAAACCCCAUAAGCAAAACUAAUCCAAUAUUCAGAUACAUCCCAUUCAAAUGGGAAAAAUUAAAUUUGAUUUUUAAAUUGUUCAGAUGAAAGUUAGAUUACUU